rnacentral:lncRNA from 1 species
AACCCGGUAGGUUAUCUUACUCAGCUGUGGAAGCUUUGUUCUCUCAGUCUUCUCAGUAAAUCUUGCUGCUGCUGACUUUUGGGGUCCGUGCUGCGUAUGAGAGCUGUAACACUCACUGCGAAGGUCUGCAGCUUCACUCGUGAAGUCAGUGAGACCACAAACCCACCAGAAGGAAGAAACUCCGGGCACGUCCAACUGCGGACACACCAUCUUUAAGAACUGUAACACUCGCCGCGAGGGUCUGUGGCUUCAUUCUUGAAGUCAGCGAGACCAAGAACCCAGCAAUUCCAGACACGGUAAGACUGUAGUUCUCUCAUAUUAAAGUCACCUGGAGAACUUUAAAAAAAAAAAAAUAGCCUAUACCUGGCCAUUACCAUCAAUUAAUCAUAAUCUUUCCAGGUAAGGCUUGGGCGUUGACUUCUAUGUAAGAGCUCCAGCUAAUUCUGAUGCCUAGUAAGAGGGUGAGACUGGAAAACCGCAGAGGAAGGGCUUUUCAGUUAAGAUAGGAGUGAGUGAAGCCUACUUAAAUACUGAGAGAGAUAAACCUUCUAUAAUUUAUAUUAGUGUGUUGUAACUCAUUGAUUAGAGAUACCUUUAGCCUAUAUCACAAGAUACUGGUAUUAUACAAGUAAAUGCAGCAUUGGUCUGGGAGUUAAGAAACAUAAUGCAUUUUAAUUCUCACUCUUGCCAGUUAGCUACAUAAUUUUGUGCAAGUAAAUGAUUUCCACAUGGGCCGGGGGCGGUGGCUCACGCCUGUAAUCCCAGCAUUUUGGGAGGCCGAGGUGGGUGGAUCACGAGAUCAGGAAACCGAGACCAUCCUGGCUAACAUGGUGAAACUCCAUCUCUACUAAAAAUACAAAAAAUUAGCUGGGCGUGGUGGCGGGUGCCUGUAGUCCCAGCUACUUGGAAGGCUGAGGCAGGAGAAUGGCGUGAACCCGGGAGACGGAGCUUGCAGUAAGCCGAGACUGUGCCACUGCACUCCAGCCUGGGCGACAGAGCGAGACUCCAUCUCAAAAAAAAAAAAAAAAAAAAAAAAAAAAAAAAAAAAAAAAAUUCCACAUGUAUACAGUGUGGAGGCUGAGAUCCUUUACCUAAGGUCCAUUUCAGUCUAAAUUUGUUUUAGUUUUCAACCACCUUUUUAGCAGAAUCAUGGCUCUCUAGAACAGGUAACUGAUUUGUCCCCGGGGUUAAAUAUAAUUCCAACUCUAAUCAAUCUUAGGAUGCUUUAACAUUUUUUCUUUAAUUUCCUAAAAAAAAAAUCAAAAGAUUCAUGUGAUGAAACACAUCUGAUACCCUCCUUGGAGAACUGCAGGGCUUAGAGAAAACUCAUUCUGUGUUCUCUACCGUCAGCAUUUUUAUUCCAGUGAAAUUUAUUUUAAAAUUAGUUUAAUUUUAGAAAAACAUGUUUUAAACCUGAAAGUAAUGAAGAUUAUCUAGUUCAGAUUUUUCAUGUUGAAAAAAGGGUAUUUCCUAGGGUGAGAGAAAGUUAGUGGCAAAGCAUUUCAGUAUUUCCUUGUCCCAUUCUGUGCUUUCCAUGCUAGUCAACUCAAUGGCAACAGGAGGCCAGCAGAAGCAGUGACAGAACAGCAUCCAGCCUGUGUUGCCUUGGUGAUACGGGAGGCUCCAGAGCACCUUUAGAACUUCCUAAUUUAUUGAAAGUUUUACUCCACAACUACUUAAACUACAUACAAUUUGAUUAAAGCUGAAUUCUUUAAAAGUAUUAAGCUGGGCUGGGCACAGUGGCUCACGCCUGUAAUGCCAGCACUUUGGGAGGCCGAGGCGGGCAGAUCUCGAGGUCAGGAGAUCAAGAUUAUUCUGGCUAACACGGUGAAACUCCAUCUCUACUAUAAAUACAAAAAAUAAGUCGGGUGUGGUGUCACGCGCCUGUAGUCCCAGCUACUCGGGAGGCUGAGGCAGGAGAAUCACUUGAACCCAGGAGGCGGAGGUUGCAGUGAACCAAGAUCGCGCCACUGCACUCCAGCCUGGGUGAUAGAGCGAGACUCCGUCUCAAACAACAACAACAACAAAAAUAUUAAGUUUUGGAAAAUUGCAUAUCUAAUAAUAACAAAUAGUUUGAGACUCAUGGUAUAUAUAUAUGGGGUGUGUGUGUGUGCGCGUGUGCCACAAUUCCUUAGUUUUAAAUCUUUGCCAUUGAAAUAAAAAUGAAUUUUAGGGUAUUUAGUUAGUGAUACACAGAAAAGUUUGUUACAUGUCAAAGUAGAUACACUUUCUACUCAGCAAAAAAAGCAAAAUCUUGAAAAAU